rnacentral:rRNA from 1 species
UACGUAGGGUGCAAGCGUUGUCCGGAAUUAUUGGGCGUAAAGAGCUCGUAGGCGGUCUGUCGCGUCGGCUGUGAAAACUCGGGGCUCAACUCCGAGCUUGCAGUCGAUACGGGGAGGCUAGAGUUCGGCAGGGGAGACUGGAAUUCCUGGUGUAGCGGUGAAAUGCGCAGAUAUCAGGAGGAGCACCGGUGGCGAAGGCGGGUCUCUGGGCCGAUACUGACGCUGAGGAGCGAAAGCGUGGGGAGCGAACAGG